GGCUCUUUUUGAUUUAAAUACUAGGAAAGCAUGGUGCAUGAAUAUAACUUUCCUCAGGGCAUGUCUUUACAAAUUGCCUCUAUUCAAAAGUAUUAGGAUUGGGGUUGUGAGAAAAGGAAGCUGUCAAUCUAAACUAAAGGAAAUGGAUAAGCUACAGACACUCAAUGCUAGUCAAUGAAAGCAGCAGAGAGUGGGCUAUACCCUACAAAGCCACAGGAGUGGGGCUGCCCAAGGCUGUAACCUGAGGCAUUUUUAGGCAAAAUCUCAGGUGGCAGCCACUUCGAUGUUGAGUGGCAUGGCUCACCUUUCGAAUGCUUGUAGGUGAGUAUGGAGAUGCCCUGAAAAUGUGAAGUGUUUAGAGUCAUCUGUACUCCUGUUCUCAGUGAUUGUUAGCUGAGAGACAGCACAUGCAGUAAGAAGGGCAGCCAGCGGCUACUGCAGUGGAUGGUUGCUUCUGUGGGCUGCUUGGUUGGUGCUGGAGCCCAGGUAGCAGCAGAAGCAGAAUAAAAUUGCUUCAGUAGGAAUUACAACUAGAAAAACGUUAUUCUUAAAAAACUCUAUAGACAAAAGUCGACUUUGUUAAAACUGACAUUUGGGCUAUUCAUGUAUACAUAGGUAUUCUUUUAAUACCCUUUUUCUUUCUCUGUAAAACAUCUCAGUCAACUGAAUCUUAUCUGCUUCUCCAUUUGCUUCUAUCUGCCUCUCCUUCCUCUUACAACCCUUUGUUAGGGAUGGAAGGUCACCAAGUUACUGGUGGUGAAUCCAUAUGUGUCUGCAGCAACCUCAAUUCUUGCUUGCUCAGAAAAAAGAAUUUGAGUGAGGGGCAUGAGGC
rnacentral:lncRNA from 10 species